GCAUAUCAAUAAGCGGAGGAAAAGAAACCAACAGGGAUUACCUCAGUAACGGCGAGUGAAGCGGUAACAGCUCAAAUUUGAAAUCUGGGCCUUUCAGGCUCCGAGUUGUAAUUUGUAGAAGAUGCUUUGGGUGCGGCCCCGGUCUAAGUUCCUUGGAACAGGACGUCAUAGAGGGUGAGAAUCCCGUAUGUGAUCGGUGGCUUGCGCCCGUGUAAAGCUCUUUCGACGAGUCGGGUUGUUUGGGAAUGCAGCUCUAAAUGGGUGGUAAAUUUCAUCUAAAGCUAAAUAUUGGCCAGAGACCGAUAGCGCACAAGUAGAGUGAUCGAAAGAUGAAAAGCACUUUGGAAAGAGAGUUAAACAGUACGUGAAAUUGUUGAAAGGGAAGCGCUUGCAACCAGACUUGCGCGGGGUUGAUCAUCCGGGGUUCUCCCCGGUGCACUCGGCCCCGCUCAGGCCAGCAUCGGUUUUGGUGGUUGGAUAAAGGCCUUGGGAAUGUGACUUCUUUCGGGGAGUGUUAUAGCCCUCGGUGCAAUGCAGCCUACCGGGACCGAGGACCGCGCUUCGGCUAGGAUGCUGGCGUAAUGGUUGUAAGCGACCCGUCUUGAAACACGGACCAAGGAGUCUAACAUCUAUGCGAGUGUUUGGGUGUCAAACCCAUGCGCGUAAUGAAAGUGAACGGAGGUGAGAACCCUUAAGGGCGCAUCAUCGACCGAUCCUGAUGUCUUCGGAUGGAUUUGAGUAAGAGCAUAGCUGUUGGGACCCGAAAGAUGGUGAACUAUGCCUGAAUAGGGUGAAGCCAGAGGAAACUCUGGUGGAGGCUCGCAGCGGUUCUGACGUGCAAAUCGAUCGUCAAAUUUGGGCAUAGGGGCGAAAGACUAAUCGAACCAUCUAGUAGCUGGUUCCUGCGA
rnacentral:rRNA from 1 species